CCUACGGGAGGCAGCAGUGAGGAAUAUUGGUCAAUGGGCUUACGCCUGAACCAGCCAAGUCGCGUGAGGGAAGACUGCCCUAUGGGUUGUAAACCUCUUUUGUCAGGGAGCAACGCCGGCUACGUGUAGCCGGACUGAGAGUACCUGAAGAAAAAGCACCGGCUAACUCCGUGCCAGCAGCCGCGGUAAUACGGAGGAUGCGAGCGUUAUCCGGAUUUAUUGGGUUUAAAGGGUGCGUAGGCGGAAUGUCAAGUCAGCGGUAAAAUCGCGGGGCUCAACCUCGCUCCGCCGUUGAAACUGGCGUUCUUGAGUGGGCGAGAAGUAUGCGGAAUGCGUGGUGUAGCGGUGAAAUGCAUAGAUAUCGCGCAGAACUCCGAUUGCGAAGGCAGCAUACCGGCGCCCGACUGACGCUGAGGCACGAAAGCGUGGGGAUCGAACAGGAUUAGAUACCCGGGUAGUC
rnacentral:rRNA from 1 species